GUUUCUAAAUCGCUUAAAUCGUGUGAUACGGGGGACCCGUUACAAAUGGAUUUUUUACAUAAUGAAUCCUUGGGGUGAAUCCUUAACAGGUAGGGCUACUCAAUGGCCCGAAUCCGGCAGCUAACCUCGUCAGCGUUAUAUGAGAAGGAAG
rnacentral:sRNA from 2 species